rnacentral:tRNA from 1 species
GUUUUUAUAGGUUAUACUAAACCGUUGGCCUGUGGAGCCGGAGAAAGAAAUUUAACUUGAAAACC